rnacentral:rRNA from 1 species
AACGUAGGUACCGAGCGUUAUUCGGAUUCACUGGGCGUAAAGGGUGCGCAGGCGGCCGUGUGUGUGAGGCGUGAAAGCCCGGGGCUUAACCCCGGAAUUGCACCUCAAACUACAUGGCUAGAGCAUUGGAGAGGGUAGCAGAAUUCAUGGUGUAGCAGUGAAAUGCGUAGAUAUCAUGAGGAAUACCAGAGGCGAAGGCGGCUACCUGGACAAUUGCUGACGCUCAGGCACGAAAGCGUGGGGAGCAAAAGGG